UAUUAUCUGUGCUUCAUUACUACUCUCUCUAAAUCAUGUGAGAGUUGAAUGAUGUUGCAGGAUAACUAUUGAUGGUGAAAAGAUUGUUGUUUUUUAUACUGGUAUAGGGGGGGUAUAAUACAAAUGGUCCUUCAAAUCCAGUUGGAAGCUCCUCCCUGUAAUUGAUGAAAGCAGGAUUUACUAUUUCUAGGGAGUAAGAGGUUUAUUUGUUGAACCAUGAUAUCUAAGGGAGUAAGAGGCAACAUCCAGGGGUAUCUAAGAGAGCUGGUCCAGGCUUGAUGGAAAUCGCUUGAUGGAAAUCACUUCAUAGCGCCUAUAUGUGACUAUCUACUUUGUUUGCUAAUAACAUUGUAAAUAAUUAAUCGUAAGCUUCUUAGAACACUAUGUAUCAUUACUAAGUAUCUAUCUACCAGCAAUAAGUACUUAUUUUCAUAUGUUUCAAUAUGUGUCUGAAUAAUAUUAAUGUACACUCUUUCAAUACAUGGCUUACUCUCGGCCUUUGCGCCAUUGGCGCAACUGGUCA